CAAACCUACUGUUUAUCGUCUGAUCUGCAAAAUAAGGCCAACAAAGCAUAGGCAUUCCCCCUGCUACACUCUCCAGAGUUGAAUUCCAACCACAAUGGGUGAAAAAUGCACAAACCGCUGGAUGGGCCAAGACGUCAUCUUGAGGUGCCCAUCCCACCAUGUAGCCUCUUGCCUUUGUACCUUCCUCUAGCUCCACCGGAAUCUUACUCUCCUCAUUAUUUCCAAUAAUAGAAUCCGGCCUCAUUACCCACAAGAACCUCUGCCCACUAUUCACUAGCCCAUACCAAAACUCCAAGAGCUCGCUUCGAGUUAAUAUGGUAACGCUUCCAAAGCUCACAUAAAUCACAGAUUUUGCAGGCUGCGAGUCGAGCCAGGUCAGGCAGCUUUUGUCUUCCUCCCAGAAACUGCCUGAAGCACGAGUUAUGUCACUUGUUUUCUCUGCCAAUCGGGCCCUCAAAUGAGUGUGGAGUGGACCGACAGAAUACAGAUUUGGAAUAUGUUUCCGAUUCGCUGAUGGCCUUUUUCGCCAAAUUUGCCAUAUCAUUAGCCCUCUGCAAGAACUCAUCCCUUCUCUCCACCAUCAUAUCCCUAACCAUCUUCUCAAUAAUCACUCGAUCACAAGUAUCUUUUAUAUCCAAUCCGAGCUUCCAAACUUCGCUGACAAACCUACUGUUUAUCGUCUGAUCUGCAAAAUAAGGCCAACAAAGCAUAGGCAUUCCCCCUGCUACACUCUCCAGAGUUGAAUUCCAACCACAAUGGGUGAAAAAUGCACAAACCGCUGGAUGGGCCAAGACGUCAUCUUGAGGUGCCCAUCCCACCAUGUAGCCUCUUGCCUUUGUACCUUCCUCUAGCUCCACCGGAAUCUUACUCUCCUCAUUAUUUCCAAUAAUAGAAUCCGGCCUCAUUACCCACAAGAACCUCUGCCCACUAUUCACUAGCCCAUACCAAAACUCCAAGAGCUCGCUUCGAGUUAAUAUGGUAACGCUUCCAAAGCUCACAUAAAUCACAGAUUUUGCAGGCUGCGAGUCGAGCCAGGUCAGGCAGCUGUUGUCUUCCUCCCAGAAACUGCCUGAAGCACGAGUGAUGUCACUUGUUUUCUCUGCCAAUCGGGCCCUCAAAUGAGUGUGGAGUGGACCGACAGAAUACAGAUUUGGAAUAUGUUUCCGAAUUUCAUCAAGAAUGGGUCCUUCCAAAUCUUCAAAUGUGUUGAGUAUGAG
rnacentral:lncRNA from 1 species